CCUACGGGAGGCAGCAGUAAGGAAUCUUCCACAAUGGACGAAAGUCUGAUGGAGCAACGCCGCGUGCAGGAUGAAGGCUUUCGGGUCGUAAACUGCUUUUAUAUGGGAAGAUUAUGACGGUACCAUAUGAAUAAGGACCGGCUAACUACGUGCCAGCAGCCGCGGUAAUACGUAGGGUCCAAGCGAUAUCCGGAAUUACUGGGCGUAAAGCGUGUGUAGGUGGAUUAAUAAGUGUGAUGCGAAAUCCGGCGGCUCAACCGUUUGGACUGUGUCGCAUACUGUUAGUCUAGAGGACGGCAGAGGUAAGUGGAAUUACGGGUGUAGCAGUGAAAUGCGUAGAUAUCCGUAGGAACACCAAUGGCGAAGGCAGCUUACUGGGCCACACCUGACACUGAGACACGAAAGCGUGGGGAGCGAACAGGAUUAGAUACCCUGGUAGUCCACGCCGUAAACGAUGCAUACUAUUAGUAUGGGGUAUCGACCCCCUGUGCUGAGAAGCUAACGCGAUAAGUAUGCCGCCUGGGGAGUACGAGCGCAAGCUUAAAACUCAAAGGAAUUGAGGCGUGNGAGNGCGAGGACGACGACGAGGAGGAGG
rnacentral:rRNA from 1 species